rnacentral:rRNA from 1 species
AGAGUUGAUCCUGGCUCAGGACGAUCGCUGUAGGAGUGCUAAUACAUGCAAGUCGAGCGAGCUCGCCUAGAUGAUUUUAGUGCUUGCACUAGAUGAACCUAGUAUACGAGCCUAGCGGCGGCACGGGUGAGUAACACGUUGGGUCACCUGCCCAAUAGACUGGGAUAACACCUGGGAAACAGAUGCUAAUACUGGAUAACAGCACUAGGACGCAUGUCUAGAGUUUGAUGGAUGGUUCUGCUAUCACUCUUGGAUGGACCUGCGGUGCAUUAGCUAGUUGGUAAGGUAACGGCUUACCAAGGCAAUGAUGCAUAGCCGAGUUGAUAGACUGAUCGGCCACAUUGGGACUGAGACACGGCCCAAACUCCUACGGGAGGCAGCAGUAGGGAAUCUUCCACAAUGGACGAAAGUCUGAUGGAGCAACGCCUCGUGAGUGAAGAAGGGUUUCGGCUCGUAAAGCUCUGUUGGUAAGGAAGAAAGAUAGAGGUAGUAACUGGCCUUUAUUUGACGCUAAUUACUUAGAAAGUCACGGCUAACUACGUGCCAGCAGCCGCGGU